GGGCUCGUAGCUCAGUUGGUAGAGCAUCCGGCUCAUAACCGGACGGUCGGCGGUUCGAUCCCGUCCGAGCCCACCA
rnacentral:tRNA from 1 species